rnacentral:misc_RNA from 1 species
UCCGGCUUAUCACCGGCAGUUUCUUUAGAGUGCCCAACUAAAUGGUAGCAACUAAAGACGAGGGUUGCGCUCGUUGCGGGACUUAACCCAACAUCUCACGACACGAGCUGACGACAGCCAUGCAGCACCUGUGCAGGAGUCCCGAAGGAAGGCCCUGGUUUCUCAGAGCUGUCCCCUGCAUGUCAAGCCUAGGUAAGGUUCUUCGCGUUGCGUCGAAUUAAACCACAUGCUCCACCGCUUGUGCAGGCCCCCGUCAAUUUCUUUGAGUCUUAACCUUGCGGCCGUACUCCCCAGGCGGAUGACUUAACGCGUUAGCUGCGCCACCGAAACUCCAUGAGCCCCGACAGCUAGUCAUCAUCGUUUACGGCGUGGACUAC